rnacentral:ncRNA from 1 species
UCGCCCACAAUCUAUUCAAAUGGCUUCAACAUGGAUAUGUUGGCGUAUCUGCGUUUUUAGUCGAUGACUGGUAGCCGGCUUUGGUCGGAACUCUUCUCUGGGCAUCUCUGUUGGAAUCGUUUUCGGUUCGAAUAUGAGCUGGAACACCACACGUUUGGUCUCCUCGCGCUAACCCCGUAGCGUGUGGUUUUAGCGGGCUCCACCAGGCCCGCUUUUUUAU